GAUGAACGCUGACAGAAUGCUUAACACAUGCAAGUCAACUUGAAUUUGGGUUUUUAACUUAGAUUUGGGUGGCGGACGGGUGAGUAACGCGUAAAGAACUUGCCUCACAGCUAGGGACAACAUUUAGAAAUGAAUGCUAAUACCUGAUAUUAUGAUUUUAAGGCAUCUUAGAAUUAUGAAAGCUAUAAGCACUGUGAGAGAGCUUUGCGUCCCAUUAGCUAGUUGGAGGGGUAACAGCUCACCAAGGCGAUGAUGGGUAGCCGGCCUGAGAGGGUGAACGGCCACAAGGGGACUGAGACACGGCCCUUACUCCUACGGGAGGCAGCAGUGGGGAAUAUUGGACAAUGGACCGAGAGUCUGAUCCAGCAAUUCUGUGUGCACGAUGAAGUUUUUCGGAAUGUAAAGUGCUUUCAGUUGGGAAGAAAGAAAUGACGGUACCAACAGAAGAAGUGACGGCUAAAUACGUGCCAGCAGCCGCGGUAAUACGUAUGUCACGAGCGUUAUCCGGAUUUAUUGGGCGUAAAGCGCGUCUAGGUGGUUAUGUAAGUCUGAUGUGAAAAUGCAGGGCUCAACUCUGUAUUGCGUUGGAAACUGUGUAACUAGAGUACUGGAGAGGUAAGCGGAACUACAAGUGUAGAGGUGAAAUUCGUAGAUAUUUGUAGGAAUGCCGAUGGGGAAGCCAGCUUACUGGACAGAUACUGACGCUGAAGCGCGAAAGCGUGGGUAGCAAACAGG
rnacentral:rRNA from 1 species